rnacentral:rRNA from 1 species
UACGGAGGGUGCAAGCGUUAUUCGGAUUUAUUGGGUUUAAAGGGUACGUAGGCUGUAAAAUAAGUCGAUGGUGAAAGCCAACAGCUUAACUGUUGAAUUGCCGUCGAUACUGUGUUACUUGAGUAGAGUCGAAGUAAGUGGAAUUCUACAUGUAGUGGUGAAAUACAUAGAUAUGUGGAGGAACACCGAUAACGAAAGUAGCUUACUAGGCUUUACUGACGCUGAGGUACGAAAGCAUGGGUAGCAAACGGG